AACCUCAGAUCAAGUAGGAUUACCCGCUGAACUUAAG
rnacentral:rRNA from 1 species